rnacentral:rRNA from 1 species
GACGAACGCUGGCGGCGUGCCUAAUACAUGCAAGUAGAACGCUGAAGAGAGGAGCUUGCUCUUCUUGGAUGAGUUGCGAACGGGUGAGUAACGCGUAGGUAACCUGCCUUGUAGCGGGGGAUAACUAUUGGAAACGAUAGCUAAUACCGCAUAACAAUAGGUGACACAUGUCAUUUAUUUGAAAGGGGCAAUUGCUCCACUACAAAAUGGACCUGCGUUGUAUUAGCUAGUAGGUGAGGUAACGGCUCACCUAGGCGACGAUACAUAGCCGACCUGAGAGGGUGCUCGGCCACACUGGGACUGAGACACGGCCCAGACUCCUACGGGAGGCAGCAGUAGGGAAUCUUCGGCAAUGGGGGCAACCCUGACCGAGCAACGCCGCGUGAGUGAAGAAGGUUUUCGGAUCGUAAAGCUCUGUUGUAAGUCAAGAACGAGUGUGAGAGUGGAAAGUUCACACUGUGACGGUAGCUGACCAGAAAGGGACGGCUAACUACGUG